AAUAAAACACAAAGAGAAUUCGGCGCCUUAUGAGGUAAAAGAAAAACACAUCUGCACAGUAUGGAGAUUAAGUUGACUCUGACCCAAGUGAGAAAUCCGGGACCUCAGAACUAAGAACAAGUUGGGACAACAUUUGGUUGAACGCUGCCUGUCAUUUAACAGAAGAGCUCUUGGGAACUCUGAACAGAUUGCACUCCGUUUGGAGGAGUCCAUCGUAACUUCAGAUGGAAGUGUUCAAGGCUGCACACCUCGGGCUGCAGCUGCUCGUGAAGAGGCCAAGACUAUCCAAGAACCAGAGGGAGACCCCUCAAGCUGAGACUGAGCUACAUGCUGAGAAAAUCCUUUCAACCAGUAUUUGGAAGCUACAAAUAAUGGAGGAGUGUCCAGACCUGUAAGGAGAGAGAGAGAGAGCGCAAGACCCAUUCUCCUCCGCUGUACUUGUCUAAUAAGGACAUGGAAACAUCAGAUCUGAGGAUGACAUGGUGAGUGGAGCUUUCUGUGGGAACGGCAGUAGCAGUACUGUCUCUGGAUUCAAUAGGAGAGCCUGUUUGGGGAUAUACUCUUUUGAAACCCAAUGUAACUGAUACUCUAAAAUGAACUGGGCUUCCCCCUCCUAGGAAAGGCUGCUCAUCCUUGGAGAGCUCAGCAGACAUCAGAGGUAACACACCAUGGAAAGGAGGCAUUGGCCAGAGGUUCAGGGGAUUUCUCUCCAAUGAUUUCUCUCACUGCCAGAGUCCAGGAAAAGGAAUCAGAUUCACCUACAAUCCUGCCUUGAUCACCAGGCUUGUUGGUGAGAUUCCAACCCCAACUUUUCCCAUUUGCAUAUGAAUGAACAAUUGCUAUAUCUUGAACAUUAGUCAAAAGUUCCAAUAAUAUAUUAUAAUAAGAGAUUGAAAAUCUAUAUAUUACAUAUUUUGCAUAAGAAGAUUUCACUUUAUCUAAUUGCAGGUUACGGAAUGUAUACACACUUUGAGGUAUCCUAUUUUUAAGAUAAUGUACACAUUCUUGGGCUAGAAACACACAGGGCCCCAAAUUUGCUACAUUAGAACAAAGCACCCACAUUUAAAGUAGAUAUAAUCUCUUAUUAAGCUUGUAAGGGCCAAUAUGUUUCUUAAACCUUCUUAUCUGAUUUUUUCUCUCAUCAGCAUUUUGGAAGUAAUCAUACACAUAACUUUAGCCACAGGACACUUGUUAUCAAGAUUUAAAGGACUCAGUUGAAAGACCUCCAACAUGGCUUUGAAAUCUUAAUAUUAAAUACAUUUGAGUGCUACACAAGUAAUUAGCCAUAGGUAAUUAAAUAUGGUUCGGUUGGUGACUAGAGCCAUAUUCUAAACUAUUGGAAAGAAUCAAAGCUUCCAGUAAAUACAGGUGGGAUUAUUUUCAUUUCAAAGAGAC
rnacentral:lncRNA from 1 species